GUCCCCAUCGUCUAGCCGGCCUAGGACACCGCCCUUUCACGGCGAUAACAGGGGUUCGAAUCCCCUUGGGGACGCCA
rnacentral:tRNA from 1 species